CAUAAGAUGGGGACGUUAAGCAUGCAGCAACUACAGUCAUUUGUUCUCAGAGGUCUGGACCAAAGAGAAACAAGAAAAGCUGGAGUCACACUACCAAAGGCCGAAGCUGAGCAACAGAGCUCUGGAGUCAGCUGCCUGGGUUCAGCAUGCAGCGCUGCCGUGGACGAUCUGUCUCUCUUGCAUAUAUGACUUACCAGUUUUACUUUCAGUCUCUCCAUUUCUAAUUAAAUGAGAUGCAGAAAUGCUGGUGCCUUGCUAUGAUGUUUGCAGUUAUUAUUUCUAGGAAAAAAAAUAUUAUUGUUACUCAGUAUCUGGUACAUCAAA
rnacentral:lncRNA from 10 species